UUAGCAUGGAAUAAUAAAAUAGGACGAUGAUUCUAUUUUGUUGGUUUCUAGGACCAUCGUAAUGAUUAAUAGGGACGGUCGGGGGCAUUAGUAUUCAGUUGUAAGAGGUGAAAUUCUUAGAUUUUCUGAAGACUAACUACUGCGAAAGCAUUUGUCAAGGACGUUUUCAUUAAUCAAGAACGAAAGUUAGGGGAUCGAAGAUGAUCAGAUACCGUCGUAGUCUUAACUAUAAACUAUGCCGACUAGGGAUUGGGCGACGCCUCAUGUAAAUGACGCGCCCAGCACCUUACGAGAAAUCAAAGUUUUUGGGUUCUGGGGGGAGUAUGGUCGCAAGGCUGAAACUUAAAGGAAUUGACGGAAGGGCACCACCAGGAGUGGAGCCUGCGGCUUAAUUUGACUCAACACGGGGAAACUCACCAGGUCCAGACACAAUAAGGAUUGACAGAUUGAGAGCUCUUUCUUGAUUUUGUGGGUGGUGGUGCAUGGCCGUUCUUAGUUGGUGGAGUGAUUUGUCUGCUUAAUUGCGAUAACGAACGAGACCUUAGCUUUUAUUUGCGCAGCCUAACAAUUUUGUUGGGUUUGCGCCAUAAAGGACUAUCGAAUUCAAGUCGAUGGAAGUUUGAGGCAAUAACAGGUCUGUGAUGCCCUUAGACGUUCUGGGCCGCACGCGCGCUACACUGACGGAGCCAGCGAGUUUACCUUAGCCGAGAGGUUUGGGAAAUCUUGAGAAACUCCGUCGUGCUGGGGAUAGAGCAUUGCAAU
rnacentral:rRNA from 1 species